GACGAACGCUGGCGGCGUGCUUAACACAUGCAAGUCGAACGGAAAGGCCCUGCUUUUGUGGGGUGCUCGAGUGGCGAACGGGUGAGUAACACGUGAGUAACCUGCCCUUGACUUUGGGAUAACUUCAGGAAACUGGGGCUAAUACCGGAUAGGAGCUCCUGCUGCAUGGUGGGGGUUGGAAAGUUUCGGCGGUUGGGGAUGGACUCGCGGCUUAUCAGCUUGUUGGUGGGGUAGUGGCUUACCAAGGCUUUGACGGGUAGCCGGCCUGAGAGGGUGACCGGCCACAUUGGGACUGAGAUACGGCCCAGACUCCUAAGGGAGGCAGCAGUGGGGAAUAUUGCAAAAUGGGCGGAAGCCUGAUGCAGCAACGCCGCGUGCGGGAUGACGGCCUUCGGGUUGUAAACCGCUUUCGCCUGUGACGAAGCGUGAGUGACGGUAAUGGGUAAAGAAGCACCGGCUAACUACGUG
rnacentral:rRNA from 1 species